GCCGGAGUGGCGGAAUGGCAGACGCACGCGACUCAAAAUCGCGCGGAGUUACCCUCCUUGGGGGUUCAAGUCCCCCCUCCGGCACCA
rnacentral:tRNA from 1 species